rnacentral:lncRNA from 1 species
GCUGGCCAUUUGACUUAUCGAUGAGAAUCAAAAUGUUUUUUGUACGGAUGGAAGAGUAGUUUUUUGAUUAUUUGAUGUUGAAGAUGAAUUGUACAAGAUACAUCGAUCAAGAUGUUGUGAGAAAAUCUUCAAAAUACGAGGCACAAAGGCCGAGAUAGAUAGAUAUAGGAGAUAAACUCCAUUUGUACAAGGCACACUGGCCAGGAAGAUAAGAUAGUGAAGAGAGACUCACUCUAAGAAUUACCCAUUCCAGGUAAACUCCAUUCCAAGCUUGAACUUCAUUUGUCCAGAAGAAAAAAUAUCUCUGCUAAAUUUCUGUGUACUUCGUCGGCC